AGGACGAACGCUGGCGGCGUGCUUAACACAUGCAAGUCGAACGAGGCCCUGUCUUCGGGCAGGUGACCUAGUGGCGAACGGGUGAGUAACACGUGGGCAACCUGCCCUCCGCUCUGGGAUAACCCCGGGAAACCGGAGCUAAUACCGGAUAUGACCUCAGUGGACAUCCACUGUGGUGGAAAGUUUUUCGGCGGAGGAUGGGCCCGCGGCCUAUCAGCUAGUUGGUGGGGUCACGGCCCACCAAGGCGACGACGGGUA
rnacentral:rRNA from 1 species